AUUUAUCUCGUCUUUUCUUAAGCACCCUGACACGUACCAAGGAGAACGUACAAGAAACCGCAGAACAUAAAAUACAGCGUUAUAUUACCCCACGCAGAGGAUAGUUUGAUCCAGAAUUGUCCAAAAGACCCACAGUCUGUGCACCGUUAUCAGACAUAAAGAGAAUAAUCGAGUUUUCCAGCAUGUUAGCCUGCUUCAACGCCUGGACAACUCUACCGACAGAUUCAUCCAAGGCGGUAACCACGCCUGAAAACAAGGAAACAUACAUUGCAAUAAGACGCUGCGAGAAUAUAACAAGUAGUAAUCGAUGCACCGAGAAUAAGGCGACAAAUAUAAGAGUCACGGUCCAAGCUUGAGUUCAAGUUGGAGGUGUCAGAUCUAAAUGCAAAAGUACGAGGAGUGACAAGCUUGUCGAUUGGAAACCUAGACCAGGGCUGUAACCCGAAAACGAG
rnacentral:misc_RNA from 1 species